AACGCAUCUUGCGCUUGCUGGUAUUCCGGCAAGCAUGCCUGUUUGAGUGUCAUGAAACUUAUCAACCGUGACUUGGGUUUAGGCCCCUGGCUCGGCUUGGAUUUGGGUGCUUGCGGCCUCGUGCUGCUCACCUUAAAAGGAUUAGCUGGACAUGUCGUGAGACUUGGUUCUACUUGGCGUAAUAAGUAUCUCGCUGAGGACAUCCCCUCGUGGGGUGGCCAAGACUCUAGUGCAAACGUCUGCUUUCUAACCCGAUCGUCCUCGGACAUCACUUUUUAUGAUCUGGCCUCAAAUCAGGUAGGACUACCCGCUGAACUUAA
rnacentral:misc_RNA from 1 species